rnacentral:tRNA from 1 species
GGGCAUGUAGCUCAGUUGGUUAGAGCGCAUCUCUGAUAAGGAUGAGGUCGGAGGUUCAAAUCCUCCCAUGCCCA